GGUCGGGGAGGAGAAUACAGUGCGUGGUGUGGCUUAAGUUGACAGCGAAGCGCCACCGAACUAGAAAUGUGAUUGGUUGUAAGUCAUUGCUAUCAUUAUCGCUGCCCAAUUAAACCUGGGGGCGGGUACCUCGGGUGUUGUUUGGGUGCCUAACAACAGGCGCGACUCCGAGCAGCACGCGGCAGCAGUGGGAGGAGCUUUCGGAGCGCGCUUAAGAGAUAAACAACAGGCGCGUGACGACAUGUAUGUAAUGCAAAUGUUUUCUCGUGUGGGGCUGCUCAGAGCUGGGAGUCCGCAGAGUCUCAACACGCGGUCUAACAAACGGCGUUAUAACAAACAGCGUCAUAACAUGUGAAUGGCCACAAGCAGCGUCCGCCAUACUUGCCACAUGUGCAACAACAAGAGCAAAAGCAAAGUCAGCUGUGUCAUACUGUCAUACUGUGAUUAGCUUUGUGCUGCUCUUCUGUUGUUUGUGCGCAGUCUUCAAGGAAAUGUCUAUAAAACAAGUAGCACAAUCAAUUAGGGACUAUUUAAUGCCAUUUACUGGACAACAAGCAAAGUAGAUUGUUGGUCGAGACAAAGGAUGUUUUGGUUGCGGCCGGGGAGGAGAAUACAGCGUGCGGUGUGGCUUAAGUUGACAGCGAAGCGCCACCGAACUAGAAAUGUGAUUGGUUGUUAGUCAUCGCUAUGAUUAACGCUGCCCAUUUCAUUUAAGUAAUGUUUUCUCAGAUUUUACAUCAAAAUGUUGUCCUGAUGUUCCCAAAAUGGCUUUUUUCCUCUAUGGAUGUCAUUAUUUGUGAAAUAAAGAGGUUUAAAAUACUAA